rnacentral:rRNA from 1 species
AUUGAACGCUGGCAGCAGGCCUAACACAUGCAAGUCGAACGGUAACAGGAAGCAGCUUGCUGCUUUGCUGACGAGUGGCGGACGGGUGAGUAAUGUCUGGGAAACUGCCUGAUGGAGGGGGAUAACUACUGGAAACGGUAGCUAAUACCGCAUAACGUCGCAAGACCAAAGAGGGGGACCUUCGGGCCUCUUGCCAUCGGAUGUGCCCAGAUGGGAUUAGCUAGUAGGUGGGGUAACGGCUCACCUAGGCGACGAUCCCUAGCUGGUCUGAGAGGAUGACCAGCCACACUGGAACUGAGACACGGUCCAGACUCCUACGGGAGGCAGCAGUGGGGAAUAUUGCACAAUGGGCGCAAGCCUGAUGCAGCCAUGCCGCGUGUAUGAAGAAGGCCUUCGGGUUGUAAAGUACUUUCAGCGGGGAGGAAGGGAGUAAAGUUAAUACCUUUGCUCAUUGACGUUACCCGCAGAAGAAGCACCGGCUAACUCCGUG